CUGGCAGCUCUGGGCAGAGCCAAGUGGGCGGCGUUAAGAAAACGUUAACAAAACGUCGGAGCCGCUGCUGGAAGGGUGAAUCACGCGUUAUGUGAGGAGAAGCGCGCUCACGACGCACGGCGCUUUUUACGCAGAGCAGGGGCAGUUGUAAGCUGGCGGCCGGCUUUGUCGCAGGUGCUGCUGAGCGUGUGAAACUCCCCUGGACCUGUGUUUCUUUGGGUUCCACGAGGAUUAGGCAUCAGAGAGAUGUGAGUCCAAGUUUACUGAAGGUCCCAUUACUUUCUUCUUGUGCGAUAUAUGAUUCCUGGUCCCUAAGCAACCACCAACUUUCAGGCAAGUGAUUAAUUCAUUUUUUAUGCAUUAUAAUGAGGUCCAGCCCAGAGUCACCUUGUAUUGGGUAAAAUAAGACAGACAGGCAUUUCACAGGCAUUUUUACCUGGAGACUGAAUGAACACAAAAGAUGGCAAAAAGCCAGGCA
rnacentral:lncRNA from 1 species